rnacentral:lncRNA from 1 species
UUAUAGUAUUGUGCUUGGCCCGAGUUGGAUAAUCCCUUUGUACAUGAGUUUUAUUUUAUGUUGUUACAUGUGAUGGACCGAGUUUGACAUAGGGUAUGCUGACCCUAGGGGUUCUAUGAGUUCAGUCAUAGUGCAUACACAGGUCAAACUGGUUAAAGGUAAAGUUUUAAAUGUUUUAUGGAUAUGUUUGAUCAUGUUUGGGAUUAUACCAGCUGUACAGGAUGCAUAGUAGGCUUGCUACGGGUCCCGGCGGCCUUAUGUCGAUCUGGAUCCUAGCGCCGGUAGCGGUCCAGAUUUUCGGGUCGUUACAGUUGUGCAUGUGAGGGUUAUGGACCCU